rfam:Oryza punctata chromosome 9, whole genome shotgun sequence.
GAUUUCAACUGAAAAAGUUAUCAACAACAAAGUUGAAUAACUCAUUAAGAUCUAAAACUUUUAUUUUAAUCAUUUCUUCAUCCGACAAAGUGAUAGUAACAUUGUUCACAAAAAUUGACAUAUCUCUUAUCUGGUUUUAUAAACUAUAACACAUAUAUGUAAAAUUUGUGAACAAUGUUAGUAACACUUUGUCGGAUGAAGAAAUGACAAAAGUAAAAGUUUUAGAUCUUGAUGAGUUAUACAAUUUUGUUGUUGAUGACUUUUCAAUUGAAAUC